CGGAAUGCCGUUUUGGAACAG
rnacentral:siRNA from 1 species